CGAUGAUAGCUUGCUAUCAGGCGUCGAGCGGCGGACGGGUGAGUAAUACUUAGGAAUCUACCUAGUAGUGGGGGAUAGCACGGGGAAACUCGUAUUAAUACCGCAUACGACCUACGGGAGAAAGGGGGCAGUUUACUGCUCUCGCUAUUAGAUGAGCCUAAGUCGGAUUAGCUAGAUGGUGGGGUAAAGGCCUACCAUGGCGACGAUCUGUAGCUGGUCUGAGAGGAUGAUCAGCCACACCGGGACUGAGACACGGCCCGGACUCCUACGGGAGGCAGCAGUGGGGAAUAUUGGACAAUGGGGGAAACCCUGAUCCAGCCAUGCCGCGUGUGUGAAGAAGGCCUUUUGGUUGUAAAGCACUUUAAGCAGUGAAGAAGACUCCGUGGUUAAUACCCACGGACGAUGACAUUAGCUGCAGAAUAAGCACCGGCUAACUCUGUGCCAGCAGCCGCGGUAAUACAGAGGGUGCAAGCGUUAAUCGGAAUUACUGGGCGUAAAGGGAGCGUAGGUGGCUCGAUAAGUCAGAUGUGAAAUCCCCGGGCUCAACCUGGGAACUGCAUCUGAUACUGUUGAGCUAGAGUAUGUGAGAGGAAGGUAGAAUUCCAGGUGUAGCGGUGAAAUGCGUAGAGAUCUGGAGGAAUACCGAUGGCGAAGGCAGCCUUCUGGCAUAAUACUGACACUGAGGCUCGAAAGCGUGGGUAGCAAACAGGAUUAGAUACCCUGGUAGUCCACGCCGUAAACGAUGUCUACUAGUCGUUGGGUCCCUUGAGGACUUAGUGACGCAGCUAACGCAAUAAGUAGACCGCCUGGGGAGUACGGCCGCAAGGUUAAAACUCAAAUGAAUUGACGGGGGCCCGCACAAGCGGUGGAGCAUGUGGUUUAAUUCGAUGCAACGCGAAGAACCUUACCUGGUCUUGACAUAUCUAGAAUCCUGCAGAGAUGCGGGA
rnacentral:rRNA from 1 species